rnacentral:lncRNA from 1 species
AGCCCUCCCUCUCUCUCUCUCUCUCUCUCUCUCUCCUGUCCAGCUCGAUGAAAGCAUAGUGCUCUGUCUGCUCUCCUGGGAAUAUUUUCCCAUCAUAUAAACAUUUACCUGCUGCUGUGCUGGAGCUGACACCGGCAGGAGGAGGAGGGUGACGGCGCGAGGAGUCCCCGAGGCUGCAGGUGUAGCGGUCACUGCCCAUCCUGGCGAGCAGCAGCAGGUGGUCAGGGUCAAGGGUCAAGCUUUCUGUAACCAUGAGGCAGGCGGUGGAGGCUCAGGUGUUAAGUCCGCACUGUGAGUUGGGAGAACACGGUCAGUAGGAGUGUUUUAUGGUUUAAGGUUAAUGUGCUUACACAUGUUAACCACAGCUUCAGCCUUCUGCUAACGUGUCUGAGUUUCUGCUGCAGGUUUGCGUCAGAUCCUGUCUGACGUCAUAGAUGAGGUGAGGCAGUCUGUGAGUCAGGACAUCGACGGAGCAGAGAUCCUCCACAGUCUGCUCAACGCCGCCUGGCUGCAGUCACUUCUCAAGGUCUGAAAACUUGAAAAACAGAAUUAAAAAUCCUGGUUUCAGUGGUUAGUUUUCAGCAUUCCUCAUUAUACUUUGGGUCAUGCACCAAAAUCUUUUAUCUUAUAUGAGGAAAGAUGACUUACACCAGAUUUUUCUACAAAUAACAUAAAAUACAAAAUGCAGGUAAUGUAAUCUAAAGUACAUGCAAA